rnacentral:misc_RNA from 1 species
UCCGGUUUGUCACCGGCAGUCCCAUUAGAGUGCUCAACUGAAUGUAGCAACUAAUGGCAAGGGUUGCGCUCGUUGCGGGACUUAACCCAACAUCUCACGACACGAGCUGACGACAGCCAUGCAGCACCUGUGUUCAGGUUCCCUUUCGGGCACCUCUGCAUUUCUGCAGAGUUCCUGACAUGUCAAGGGUAGGUAAGGUGGGGAUGACGUUUAGGAGCUCGAC